AUGUUAAGUGUUCUUACCACAGGAGAAGAAAAGAAAAUAGAGACACAGAGCAAAGAGUCUCCCCCCUCAAGAAAAAAAAAAAAAAAUUAAAUAAAUACAUCCGUAUCCCUACUCAAACAAAUGAGUCACCAAGGUCCAGGCCUGACCACAGGCCGAUAGAUGUGGGACAAAGCAGGCAAGACACCUGGGAGACACACCACCAGGUGAGCUGAGUGAGAGGGGGUGGAGCGGGGCACAGCCCAGCCCCACCUGGGCUGCAGCCUCGGAGGUUGGCAGCCUGAGCGGCGGGCAGGCCCCAGGGCCACGUUGAGGAAGACCUGAUGUAGGCCAUGACCAAAUACGGCAAGGCCCCACUGACAGACUCCUCGGUGUGUGAGUCACCGAGAAAAAUCCCGUCGCGGCUCCCGACUGUGCCCUAGCCCCCGGGGCUCGGAACCACUGUAUUCUUCCUUCCAGAACAGGAAUUUAAACAACAACAAAAAAAUUUCUUCCUUAAAAUGACAAACCAGAAACACAAGUUGGAGAAAGGUCACUGCAAUUAAAAAAAAAAAGAAAAAAAAAGGAAUUCUCUGUGGGUCAGAAGGUGAAGGAUGACCCACAGAUCGGGGGACCCUGCAGGAAAUUCACUGAGCAGAGCAGAGCUUGGUCUUGGGAAAGGAAACCAGGGAGGUUGCCGUGGGAUAUGCUUUCUUAGCUGCAGCACCAAGACCUCUGACAAAAGAACAGAACAAACAUGACCUAUGAGAAAAUGUCCAGAGCCCUGCGCCACUACUACAAACUAAACAUUAUCAGGAAGGAGCCCGGACAAAGGCUUUUGUUCAGGUUUAUGAAAACCCCCGAUGAAAUCAUGAGUGGCCGAACGGACCGUCUGGAGCACCUUGAGUCCCAGGAGCUGGAUGAACAAAUAUACCAAGAAGACGAGUGCUGAGGGAACCAAGCCACGGCUUCCGCAGGGGGGGUCAGCAGCCGGGGGCCCCCUGCCCAUGAGGGUCCUGGAGGCGUGGCGAGCAGGCGGACUGCAAGCUGAACCGGAAGAGACCUGGAAGUGGGAGUGACACUUGUCUCGCAUAGUGGGAGGGCCCCCAGAGCACCUUAGACAAACCACCCAGCGAAGGCGGGGCUGGAAUUCUGGCCGAGGGCACGAGCCUGGGACUCCUGGUUCCGUUUCCUCCUCUUGUGGAACCUCUCCAUCUGUAAUUCCUCACCCUCACCCAUCCACCUAUUGUUAGUUUCAUGGUGUUUUCGUUUUUGUUUUUUUGGGUUUUUUUUUUUUUUUUUAAGACCAUGCAGUUUGACUUUUCAUCAUUCAUACAGGGGAAGACAUCCGAGGUUGUUUUCCUAUGGAAAUAUAUAUCUAUUAUAUAUAUCUAUUUUUUGCAAAUCUCACAAAGUGCGGCAAGCCCAGCUGGUCAGGAAAGAGAACACUUGCAAAGGGUUUCAGGUUCCUCUUUAUCCUGCCAUGUGGAUCAGGUUUGUUCCUGUUGCUGUUGGGUCUUGGCUGGAAAAAAAAAAAAAAAAAAGAUGCUUUUAAAAAAGAUAAAGUGAAAAGGAGAGCUCUCUUUUUCUCCCUCUCGCUCUUUCCUUCCCUGCCUCCCGUCUGUCCUCCCUCCCCGCCUGCUGUUGAGCUUCAGAUGCCUUUUAGCAGAGUUGAGCCUCUCGGAGAGUCUUGAGCAUUGUUGACACCCAGACAGCAUCAGUGGUCUGGGCGCUUUGCAGCCGGCACCGCAAAAUCAAACCCACAUCCCGGCAUCUGGCUACCCAUCGGAGGGAGGCCCCAAACCUCACAGGUGCUGCGGUCCUCCAGAAAGAAGUGCCAGUCCAGCGGGCUGCCCCUGCCCCCCACAUGGCUGUGAGAACCCCAGGACUUGGUGGUUCUGCAGGAUGGAAGAUUAAGGACAGAAGGCGGGUCUGCGUCAUUCGGAAGGCCCCAGCAUCAUGGGAUUAGCUUGCAAGUUCCGCAAGGUGGAAAAUACAAAAGGACCCCACGGGCCUGAUGGUCAGAAACUAGGUGGAAAAUGUGCUGCAGGAGGGAUUUAUGCUUCCAGCGGAGGUGACUAAGGCUAGUGAGGGAGAAGGUCUUCUCUGCUCCGUCCCGAGGCCAUCUUGUGGUCAGUUUCAUGCCCUCACCUGAUUUUUUUUUUCCCCCAAUUCCUAGCCUUUUUUUUUUUUUUAAGUUUCCUGGUCCCCACAGGACCCAGGGCAUUUGAGAGGAGAGGACCCUGGAGUACACAGUCACUUGCUCCUGGUGUUUGCCAAGCCAGGGCAAACAGGAAACUCCUCAGAUUCAUUACCUGUUUCUUCUUUCAUAGCUGUGUUUCAGAACGGACCCAUUUGUGGCUCUUUUACACCUCAAAAUCAGGUCCAUAGUAUCUUGUAAAAUGAGGAAGUGCCACCUCUUAGUACUUUUGAUGAUAACAGAUAUUUUUAGAAAGCUGUUUUAGGGUUUGUUUGUUUUUUUCCUUUUCUAGCCACCUGAAUUGACUCUCCCAUUCCCAGGUUCAGAAUCCAGUAUUAGGACAGUCUUUUUUAAUCCAAGAGAUUAGACCUGCCUUACAAAGCACCCCCUCCUUGCUUCUCUGUUUCCUCUACUCGCUCGGGUGAACAUCUCAUAGCUCCCAGCAUCACCAUCAGCAGCACUUAGGGGGAGGCUGCCAGAGCCCUGGGUAGCUCCUCAAGCCACUUCCGACCGCAUCAGGCAGGUGGGGGUUGGAGCAACUCAGGCAGGAGGAAUUGUCCCCCAGCCUUACUGACAAGGACACCAGCCUGCGGGGAGGGAAGGACAGAUUGACUGUGGGUCAAGGACACGGGAAUCAGGGAGCCCUUCAAAGCUCUUCAGUUGUGCUCCGUUCCUGCCUCUUAUCAGACCGCAGAUAGACACAUGGAUGUGGCCAGCCUCUUCUGCUGUCAGGCGCUCCCCCAACUCUACCUUCCAGAAGGUUGGGCUUGCGGUCAGGUCAACGACCUGCUGUGUGAGGCUGGAGGGUCCAUUGAUGAAGGAAGGGUUUGGUCUCAGUCUGCUUGAGUGGUGGUGAAAUUGAGCUGGACCCCAGCAUGCUACAGAUAUCUUUCAGGAGCGAUCGACAGCAUGCAGGGAUACAUUCUCCAGCCUCUAAGAUGACUGAUAUUGGAUCACAACUGGAGAUCUUAAGCCAAGUACCGGGUGUGUUGUGAAGGCUGUUGAAUUUAAGGGCUGAAGAGAAAGGGUGGAUUUUGACUGAGGCCCUUUGUGUGACUAUGAAAUCAGAGACAGGGCAUGAUGUGGCUCUUAGAUUAGAACAUCUCAUUCUGUUCACUUUACCCAGAUAGAAGGGCUCAGGCUCUUACUGUUCAAAGAAUAUUACAGUUGAAUUAUGGAGGGAAAUUCCCUUUGGCCCCAAGGACUUCUGUAUUUAAGGCAAUACCCUGCAAGAAUAUGUAAGAUAGGAUGACACCUUCAGCCACUUGAAGAAAAGAAGGUGCUAAUUCCAAUAUGAUCUUUAUUUCCGACCCAGAUAUUACCAAUAAGAAUUUCCUGUUGAUUCCCUUAAAGGCAAAAGUCCUCCUCAUUUAUGCUUUGAGCUAACACCUGGGCAGUGCUGACCCCAGAGAUACGGUGCUUGCACACUGCAGACCCCAGAGAUACCUGCUUCAGCUCAGCAAACUUGGCUGAAGCACCUGCUAGACACUGUGAGGGAUUCAAAGAGGGAUUGGGCACAGCCCCUGCCCUCCCGAGAGCAUCUGCUAAACCUGUAGAAUCUAUCCAGGCUGAAAUUCUUAACUUCAACACUAAGUGCUGGGGAGGAUGGCACGUUCACCUGGGACCACAUGAAAAGCAUGUCUGUGAUCUGAAUAGUUGGCCUUUCCCUGCUGCUGUCAUGGGAUUCCUUGGCUUAGAUCAGAAAUCAGGAAAGGAGAAUGCAGAAGAGCACCGUGGAGCGGGGAGAGCUUCCUUCAGCUAUGUCUGGGGGGCGUCGCUCUCGCUUGAUCUCCAGCUAGAAAUUCUCUAGCACCUUCUCUUGCCUGCAUCUUGGGUUCACUGCAUUGCCUCCUCUCCAUCAGAGGAAAGCAGUGGCGAUUGGCUGCUCUGGCCAUGUGGAGGGAACAGUCUUUUUGUCCCAAGGCAACUUGAUCUCUGGCCUAAGGCAGCAUCACCAAAGUCCUGAGUCCUUCCUUUCUUUCUUUCUUUCUUUCUUUCUUUCUUUCUUUCUUUGAGGGGGACGUCCCCACAGAAAAAGAGGAAUGACAGACUGAUGGAUUUUCUCCGCUCAACAGUGUGUUUGGAACCCUCUGACCCAGGGUCUUUUUACGCUGAUAUCUUGCCCAAAUAAGAAUGUAGCUUUAGCUAAAACUUCAAUGGCAAUGACAGGAUUCACCUAAAUGACUAAGUAACCACUGUUUCCACCUUUCACUGUCUAGGCUCCAACUCUGAAUACAUUUUUGAAACGUUCACUCCCUUCUGCAGAAGGGAGACCUGAGUGUCCAGGAGGUAGGAUGAUGCCCUGGGAGCAGAUGGCAUGCCAGGGAGAGUGAGGUGUGGAAUCCAGCCCGGCCAUACCCCCAUUUGACCCAUUCCCACCCAGGAAGCUGAAGAUAAAAGAUUUGGGGCAAUACCCAAAAACAAAGGGCAGGUUUUUUUUGCCCUAGCGUUCGGUGCUAGUAAGUUUUUAUCCACUCAGCCUGCUCCUCUUCUGAGCAGAAGUCUGGAAGGAAGGCAGUGAUCUAAGGAAGCCAUGGGGGGAGGGGAAUGAUAAUUCCUGCCUGUCUAAAAACCACAGAAGACUAACCUGAUACUCCUUUGGCCCCAUCUGCGUCAACACUAAACAACUACAAACUCCCCGAAUCUUUCACACAUGCCAAGUGAACAUUCUCGAAGAUCUCUCUUUGUGACUGCAACCACCUGCAAACCAGAACGAAUCUAGAGUUUCUUUUCCUUUUUUCUUUUUGCUUAAUUUCUAAUCUCUUGUUGUUUAUGAGGUGUGGGGUUUAUAAGGGACUGAAUCAAAUGAAUGUAACAAAAAAGAAAAAAAAAAAAAAACAAAUGCCUUUUCUCAGGGC